UGCCGGGUGGUGUCAAAGUAGCACAGAUGCCUGUUAAGCAUCCUGUCCUGGUGCGAGUCCAGGUCCGGCAGCCA
rnacentral:tRNA from 1 species